ensembl:lncRNA
ACAGAGAAUAGAAGCACUUAGGACAACAGGCCAAAUCUCAGAGAGGAUCAUUGCCGGAGGGCUCGGCCAGCCUUGAAGGUCUCUGGAGACCCCCUGGGUGCUCGCGCUGUGCACGAGUCCUCUGUGCCUGGAGCUGCUGUGGGCCAGGCUGAGCCAUGACCUCCCUCCCAGCACGUCGCGUCGGCACCCUGCGCCCAUCCCAGCUGUGGCCUCCGCUGCGCUUGGGGCCAGUCACCUGCUGACCCAAAGCCAGGCCUGCAGCUGGCAGCCCUUGGCGCUGCUCAGCAAGGAGAGGCCGGCAUCSCUGCCCGGAGCGAGUCCUGCUGAACUGCACCUCCCUCGCUGCUGUUUGCCCUUGCAAAGGAUUUUUCA